UGAGUUUGAUCCUGGCUCAGGAUGAACGCUAGCGGGAGGCUUAACACAUGCAAGUCGAGCGGGAUUAGCAGCAAUGCUAUGAGAGCGGCGCACGGGUGCGUAACGCGUAUGCAACCUGCCUUAUACAGGGGAAUAGCCCAUGGAAACGUGGAUUAAAGUCCCAUAGAAUCAAGAUAUCGCAUGGUAUUAUGAUUAAAACUGAGGUGGUAUAAGAUGGGCAUGCGUCUGAUUAGGUAGUUGGUGAGGUAACGGCUCACCAAGCCGACGAUCAGUAGGGGUUCUGAGAGGAUUACCCCCCACACUGGUACUGAGACACGGACCAGACUCCUACGGGAGGCAGCAGUGAGGAAUAUUGGUCAAUGGCCGGAAGGCUGAACCAGCCAUCCCGCGUGCAGGAUGACGGCCCUAUGGGUUGUAAACUGCUUUUGUACCUGAAGAAUAGGCCCAACGAGUUGGGAUUUGCCGGUAAGGUAUGAAUAAGCAUCGGCUAACUCCGUGCCAGCAGCCGCGGUAAUACAGAGGAUGCAAGCGUUAUCCGGAUUCAUUGGGUUUAAAGGGUGCGCAGGUGGGAAAAUAAGUCAGUGGUGAAAUACUGCCGCUUAACGGUAGAAUUGCCAUUGAUACUGUUUUUCUUGAGUAUGGUUGAGGUAGGUGGAAUGUGUUGUGUAGCGGUGAAAUGCAUAGAUAUGACACAGAACGCCGAUUGCGAA
rnacentral:rRNA from 1 species